rnacentral:rRNA from 1 species
UACGGGGGGGGCAAGCGUUGUUCGGAAUUACUGGGCGUAAAGGGCUCGUAGGUGGCCAACUAAGUCAGACGUGAAAUCCCUCGGCUUAACCGGGGAACUGCGUCUGAUACUGGAUGGCUUGAGAUUGGGAGAGGGAUGCGGAAUUCCAGGUGUAGCGGUGAAAUGCGUAGAUAAUCUGGAGGAACACCGGUGGCGAAGGCGGCAUCCUGGACCAACACUGACACUGAGGAGCGAAAGCCAGGGGAGCAAACGGG